rnacentral:rRNA from 1 species
CACGUAGUUAGCCGUGGCUUUCUGGUUAGGUACCGUCAAGGUACCGGCAGUUACUCCGGUACUUGUUCUUCCCUAACAACAGAGUUUUACGAUCCGAAAGCCUUCAUCACUCACGCGGCGUUGCUCCGUCAGACUUUCGUCCAUUGCGGAAGAUUCCCUACUGCUGCCUCCCGUAGGAGUCUGGGCCGUGUCUCAGUCCCAGUGUGGCCGAUCACCCUCUCAGGUCGGCUACGCAUCGUGGCCUUGGUGAGCCAUUACCUCACCAACUAGCUAAUGCGCCGCGGGCCCAUCUAUAAGUGACAGCGUAAACCGUCUUUCAGCACAUCUACAUGAGUAGAUGUGAAUUAUCCGGUAUUAGCUCCGGUUCCCGAAGUUAUCCCAGUCUUAUAGGCAGGUUGCCCACGUGUUACUCACCCGUCCGCCGCUAAUUUACGAGAGCAAGCUCUCGUAAAUUCGCUCGACUUGCAUGUAUUAGGCACGCCGCCAGCGUUCGUCC